rnacentral:rRNA from 1 species
CACGCCGUAAACGAUGAGUGCUAAGUGUUGGAGGGUUUCCGCCCUUCAGUGCUGCAGCUAACGCAUUAAGCACUCCGCCUGGGGAGUACGGUCGCAAGACUGAAACUCAAAGGAAUUGAC